rnacentral:tRNA from 1 species
GCUGAUGUAGCUCAGUCGGUAGAGCGCAUCCUUGGUAAGGAUGAGGUCGGCGGUUCAAAUCCGCCCAUCAGCUCCA